AGAGUAAACAGUACGUGAAACCGCAUGCAGGUAAACGGGUGGCGUCAAGCUGCAAGCCCGGAGGAUUCAGCUGGCUAGGAUGUUGUGUAUGCGCCUGGCGCAUCUAUCAGCCGGAGUAAGAUGUGAUAGUCCACUGGUAAACGGUGGGCCCGGCCGCAAGGUUGGGAUAUGUGUACCGGGCGGAAGCCGGAGCAUGCUAUUCGUCUGUUGGGCUGUCUAGUCAGUGCACUUUCUCUGUGGUGAACACCACGACCGGUGGAAUUGCCAGUCUGCUGUAGUCAAGUCGUAUUCAGUCGGUUCUUGUAGCCAACUGGGUGCGAUCACAGGCAAACUCAGUAAACGGCGUAGGGGUGUCUCGGCAUCCUUGCGUGUUAUCGGCUGCUGGUUGUCAACGGGCCUGCCUGAUGAUUGUUGUAACCGUCAUUGGGUGGUCUGGUGGGCUAUGGUGGUAAGAAUAACUGUGCAAGGCAUCGGAGUUCUCGGCCUCAAAUGCAUCCUGCAUACACGUUACAAGUGGAGUGGGGUGCCAUUGCAGCCUGCCUGUUGUUGGGUCUGAUUGUCGUGUCGCCUGCGCAAAGUGGGCCCGGCAGUGGCCUGAUGCGGGAUGGGUUGUGGAUGGUGCUUCCUGUGUAGGGUGCGGUGGGUCAAAUAG
rnacentral:rRNA from 1 species